GUCCUCUGCAUUGGGACAUCCAUCUCGAUCGGGACUGGGACAUCCACGCUGUUUUGGCUUGAUCGCUGGGCUGGGGACCUCCCCUUCGCUGUGAGGUUUCCAGACCUCUUCCCCAUCGUCGUUGACUCUAGGAUCUUCGUCGAGGCGUCCCUUAUUGACUUAGGGCGUCUCGCGUUCCGGCGGCCCUUUGGGCCCCCGGAGGUUGCCUCUUGGCAUGAUCUCCUUGAUGUCGUGGCUCUUCAUGAGCCUGACCUUGCUCAGCCCCUCGACCGUCUGUCCCGCCUUGAGCCCUCCGGCCGCUUUUCUAUGAACUCCCUAUACCGAGCCAUUGCCCCCUCCCCUUGCCCGCCCGUUUUCGAGCAUAUUUGGACCAUCCGCUUGCCACUAAAGAUCAGAAUUUUCAUGUGGCAAUGGGUCCAUGGCCGGCUUCCCUCGGGCAUGGAGGUGAUUAAGCGCCACGGCCCGGAUGAUGGAAGAGACCUCGAAUCACAUCUUCUUCUCGUGUGUGUGUCCUCCCAGUUUCUUUGGGGCUGCCUCCGCGAGACGAUCGGUGGGGUUUGGUGUAACACCAACUUCCCUGAUCUCCUCGACGAGAUUCAGGCCUCCCCCAUGUCGGGCCGCCACAUUAGGUGUCUGCUCAUUGGGGUGCUCGCGUGGACGCUCUGGACUGUGCAUAAUAAGCUUGUCAUUCAGCGGGUUCCUCUCCGCCGCGCUACUGAUGUUAUGUUCAAAUUGUGUGGUUACUUGCAGCUCUGGCGGCCGCUUAGCCGUCACCAGGACCGAGACGUCAUCACCACCAUCAUCUCCGAACUUCACGCGAUGGCUCUUCGCUUGGCGCCGCUGCUCCCUCCUCCCCCGCCCGAGCCGGAUUAG
rnacentral:rRNA from 1 species